GCGGUGUAUUUCUGCGCCGCCAGCACACACUGCUGUGGUUUGAUGCCACUCCCUCACCAAAACCUCGUGCUGUGAGUCAGUCUGUGCAGAUCGGCAGCAGAACGGACCUGCAGGAUGUUCUCAGCCUUCAUCACUUGUGUUCUGCUCUGCCUUCCAUAUGAAGCAGACGCGGUCACAUUUGACCCAACUUUUCCAAUAAUAACCCAGAGCGAGAAGAAGGUGGAGAUGAAAUGUCGCCACAACGACAGUAGUCUCAACGUGAUGCUCUGGUACCAGCAAACCCGGAGCGGUGGGAUGAACCUGAUCGGAUACGGAUACACGGGCUCGGAGCCCAUCCUGGAGAAGGAGUUUCAAUCCCAGUUCAAGAUGACCAGAGAAGACGUCCGCAGAGGAGGUCUGACCCUCCUGAGCGCCACAGAGUCAGACUCGGCGGUGUAUUUCUGCGCCGCCAGCACACACUGCUGUGGUUUGAUGAGAGCUCAUGACUAAAACCCCCCCCUCCGUGUGACGGGGGGCUGACAGACGGAGGAAACCAACGUCACUGAAGGAAGGACGUUUUCAGUAGAACUUCAUCGUGUUCUGGGAGAAAGAAGCCAUACUUCAGAAAAUGUAUGUUUCCGCUGCUGCUGCUGGCGUGGCGUUGAGGGGCCGUGUCUCGCCUCCACUGUGGAUCAGCUGAUCCAUCCAUCCAGGACAUCACUCCGGCUGAUCUAUGACCUGGUAGUUUUGAGUCUCGUCUCUCUGACUCAGAACGCCACCACAGUUUUCCCCAAUGAUAUGUAUGACUGACACACGGCGUGACAGACGUGCAGCAUGACUAUGCAUCGAGUAAUGAAUGGAGGAGGUCCGAAUAAGUACGAAAAGAACCACAAAU